GUGCUAGAGCUAGGAAACCAGGCAAAGCAGAAGCUGGGAUGAACAGGUAUAGAGAGAACUAAAGAAAAAAAAAAAAUAAAAGAUUUGAAGAUUGGAUUGGUCAAAGGAAGUUUCAUCAAGAAAAUGGAAUUAGAUCUGAAUUUUUGAAAAAUAAGUAUGCUUUAAGAAGAAAAAAGAAGGGAACAGAUUCCCACUGAGAAUGGAGGAAGAACCUGUGUCCGUGGAUAUGUUAAAAUCAGCCUGAUGAUGAUAAACUCAUCGAAAGCUCAUCUCAUCACCUCAACUCGUCAGAGUGGCUAAAAUUCACAACACAAGAAUCAACAGGACCUUGACAACUUUUGAAGAUACAUAAUGAGGUGAAGGAUUUGGGGAAGCAUACCACAUAAGGGAUGUGCCCUUUUCACUGCAUGCUGACAGCAGAGAACUUUUGCAUAUGUGCUGCCGAAGCGAGCACUCUUAGAGACCUUUGGAAGCGUAUCCUGGGUUCGAAACGGGGCUGGCUCCACAGAUAAUGGUGCGUGUGGCGGUAAAAGUUGAAAGAGUAAUUCUAGAAAUG